UGAGGAAUAUUGGACAAUGGGUGAGAGCCUGAUCCAGCCAUCCCGCGUGAAGGAUGACGGUCCUAUGGAUUGUAAACUUCUUUUGUACAGGGAUAAACCUACUCUCGUGAGGGUAGCUGAAGGUACUGUACGAAUAAGCACCGGCUAACUCCGUACCAGCAGCCGCGGUAAUACGGAGGGUGCAAGCGUUAUCCGGAUUUAUUGGGUUUAAAGGGUCCGUAGGCGGACUUGUAAGUCAGUGGUGAAAUCUCAUAGCUUAACUAUGAAACUGCCAUUGAUACUGCAGGUCUUGAGUAAAUUUGAAGUGGCUGGAAUAAGUAGUGUAGCGGUGAAAUGCAUAGAUAUUACUUAGAACACCAAUUGCGAAGGCAGGUCACUAAGAUUUAACUGACGCUGAUGGACGAAAGCGUGGGGAGCGAACA
rnacentral:rRNA from 1 species